GCCAGGUCCCCUUUUUGAGUAGAGCACCCUAAGUGGUGAACGAAAUUUUUGGUUUUGGGCCACGUCUCUAUUUUAUUUCAGGUGGAGAACCCUUAUGAAUGACCCGAAUCUCUCUCUACAUUCACUAAAAUAGGUUGAUCAGGGCAACUCAAAUGAUCAAGGGGAUAGUGUGGAUUCUGGAGAAAGUAAAGAGCAAAAAGAUUAGGACUGGAGAGUUGUAGGAUGAAGGGAGAU